rnacentral:rRNA from 1 species
CGAGUCCGAGUCUCCACGGAGACGAAGUGGCGGUCAUCCAGCUUCCUAGAAAAGCUCUAACCACGUUAAUCUUUAGUUGCCUGUACCCGAAACCGACACAGGUAGGGGGGUAGAGAAUACCAAGGGGCGCGAGAUAACUCUCUCUAAGGAACUCGGCAAAAUGACCCCGUAACUUCGGGAGAAGGGGUACCACUGAGAAGUGGUCGCAGUGAAGAGGCCCAGGCGACUGUUUACCAAAAACACAGGUCUCCGCCAAGUCGCAAGACGAAGUAUGGGGGCUGACGCCUGCCCAGCGCCGGAAGGUUAAGGAAGUGGGUUAGGGAUUCGUCCCGAAGCUGACGACUGAAGCCCCGGUGAACGGCGGCCGUAACUAUAACGGUCCUAAGGUAGCGAAAUUCCAUGUCGGGUAAGUUCCGACCCGCACGAAAGGCGUAACGAUCUGGGCGCUGUCUCGGAGAGAGGCUCGGCGAAAUAGGAAUGUCUGUGAAGAUACGGACUACCUGCACCUGGACAGAAAGACCCUAUGAAGCUUUACUGUAGCUUGGAAUUGGGUUCGGGCUUGGUUUGCGCAGGAUAGGUGGGAGGCGAAGAAGAUUUGCUUGUGGGUGAAUCUGAGCCAACGGUGAGAUACCACUCUAACCAGGCUAGAAUUCUAACUUCAACCCGUCAACCGGGGGAAGGACAGUUUCAGGUGGGCAGUUUGACUGGGGCGGUCGCCUCCUAAAAGAUAACGGAGGCGCACAAAGGUUCCCUCAGGCUGGUUGGAAAUCAGCCAACGAGUGCAAAGGCAGAAGGGAGCUUGACUGCGAGACCUACAAGUCAAGCAGGGUGGAAACACGGUCUUAGUGAUCCGACGGCACCGAGUGGAAGGGCCGUCGCUCAACGGAUAAAAGUUACUCUAGGAUAACAGGCUGAUCUCCCCCAAGAGUUCACAUCGACGGGGAGGUUUGGCACCUCGAUGUCGGCUCAUCGCAACCUGGGGCGGAAGUACGUCCCAAGGGUUGGGCUGUUCGCCCAUUAAAGCGGUACGUGAGCUGGGUUCAGAACGUCGUGAGACAGUUCGGUCCAUAUCCGGUGUAGGCGCAAGAACAUUGAGAGGAGUCUUCCUUAGUACGAGAGGACCGGGAAGAACGCACCGCUGGUGUACCUGUUAUCGUGCCAACGGUAAACGCAGGGUAGCCAAGUGCGGAGUGGAUAACCGCUGAAAGCAUCUAAGUGGGAAGCCCACCUCAAGAUGAGUGUUCUCAUGGAGUAAUCCAGUAAGGUCACGGGAAGACGACCCGUUGAUAGGCGGUAGGUGGAAGUUCAGCAAUGGAUGAAGCCGAGCCGUACUAACAGACCGAGGGCUUGACC